rnacentral:rRNA from 1 species
UACGGGGGGGGCAAGCGUUGUUCGGAAUUACUGGGCGUAAAGGGCUCGUAGGCGGCCAACUAAGUCGGAUGUGAAAUCCCCAGGCUCAACUUGGGAACUGCAUCCGAUACUGGAUGGCUUGAAUUCGGGAGAGGGAUGCAGAAUUCCAGGUGUAGCGGUGAAAUGCGUAGAUAUCUGGAGGAAUACCGGUGGCGAAGGCGGCAUCCUGGACCGGCAUUGACGCUGAGUGAGCGAAAGCCAGGGGAGCAAAGCGGG